GCACUCAUAGCUCAAUUGGAUAGAGCAAAAGCUUGCGGAGCUUUAGGUUGACAGUUCAAGUCUGUCUGAGUGCACCA
rnacentral:tRNA from 1 species